GGGGUCUUGCUCUCAACUAGAAUGUCCACUGACUGACUAAAAACACUUAGACAAACAAAAACAAGUUUGAGGGAAAUCACUUGGGUUGAUCAGGCCACUCCCUCCUCCCUGUCCCUUCUGCAGUCUCUACCAACAGCCUUUGCCUUGUGGGUGCAGCUCACCUGCAGCUGCCUCAUUCAUUCCAGGUUCUAGAGCUUUCUAUGGGGCAGGCACCUUGGGGAACAUAGGGGAUGAGGACAAAGCUAAAAUGGACCUUUCAAACCCCUAUCGAUGUAUGAGCAGUGGGUGCUUCUGAGUCUGCUCAUUUCCAGAGGAGGAAAACUGCUGGCCUGUCUCACCCUAGAGCCCCAUAGGUGUGUUAGUGGCAAGAGCAAGCUCAGGACUGUCUCACCGUUGGUGUGUGACUGCCAGUCACCUUUCAGCUAGACUGAAGGAGCAUUGGCCAGUUUGUUUCCUCUCUGUCUACGCGUACCUGUGUUUUAAGUGUGAGGUGCAGUAUCAGGAGACUGCUUAUCCCUGGUGUUGCCCUAAGAGGUAGGGCCUUCUACCAGACCAGCCAGUGCCACAGCCAAGACAGUAGUCCCAUCCCACUAACAGCCACUGUCUAGUCUGUACCUAAAGUUGCCCCCAACCUCCCAUUAUACCUGGUUUUAGUAUUGGAUCCAGUCAGGGAAAGAACAUUGUAUUUUUUUUUUCUUUUUUUUUUCAGAGCUGGUGACCGAACCCAGGGCCUUGCGCUUGCUAGGCAAGCGCUCUACCACUGAGCUAAAUCCCCAACCCCAAGAACAUUGUAUUUUAUUUACAAGUUUCUUUGAAAGCUAAAGAGUUUUCCCUCUGCCCAUCAGAUUUAAAAAAAAAAAAAAACCUUUUGUUUUUUUGUUUUUUUUUUUGUUUUUUCUUUGUUUGAGACAAAGUCUCAUUAUAUAGCCCUGGCUAGCCUGGAAUUUGCUAUGUAGACCAGGCUAGCCCUGGAACUCAUAGAGAUCCACUUGACUCUCAAAAGCUGAGAUUAAAUGUCUGCACUUAUAAGGCCCAGUUCAAAAUGGUAUUUUGUUUGUGUUUUUGAGACAUGGUCUCAUCAUGUAAAUCUGCCUGUUCUGGAAAAUAUUGUGUGAACCAGGCUGGCUUGGAACUCAGAGAUCCACCUGCCUCUGCCUCCCGAGCUCUGGGGUGAAAUGUGUGUGCCACCUCUUCCAUCCCCAAAUGGUGUUCUUUUAAGGCCAGAGGGUGUGUUGUCAUAUAGAAAUCCCACAUUCCAGGUCUGAUGUUUCCUCCUUUAGCCCACCGGCUUUCAAGGGCAAUUUUAUAUUUUGUGCUGAUGUGGCAUUUCCCUCCUGCCUGUAGUGUGCCUCCUUCCACUGCCACCUGAAGGGAGGGCCGAACCAGCUUGGAGGAGGGGAAGGGGCUCCCCAAAGAAGCAGCAUCACAUUGGAUAGGGGCUGAGGGCUCUGGGUGGGAUGGCCUGCUGGACUGACCAUGGCAGGCCAGCCAGGCUGGGCACUGAGUUGUCAGAAUAAUUGUGCACAGCUUAGAGGAGCCGGGCUGCCCCAUGCUAAGCAUGGCAUCUGUCUUUCUCCAUCUCUUUCCCUUUCUGUCUUUGUUUUGGUUUCCCUGCUUCUGUUCUGUGGGGUCUUCAUUCUCUCGUUGGUCAGUGUGCACUGGAGCAGAGACAAGACCUCAAGCUAUGACAGGGAGGGCUUCGACAGAGAAAGGCCUCCUCUGGGCUGAGGUGUGAGAGGACUGGGUACAGUGGGUGGCCACGUCAGUCUUCCUCCAUAAAAUGAGGAGAUGAAGGCUUCAGCUGGGGUUUUCAUGUCCACGCAAGACUCGGCUGUGAUCUGAGGCUGAGAGUCUGCCCCACCCCUUUUCCCCAGGCCUCCCAUGCAGUGCUGGGGUUAGGGUUGUCUGUCUGUGGGCUCUGAGCAGCAGGGCAGUGACUGAGGGCCAGCGGGAAGGCCAGGGGAGACUCCCGGCAAUGUUUCACCUAAGAAGCUCCUCCCCUCAGCCUCUUUCCCUGGCCUGGAGGAGGAUCCCAGAGGAAAGGGUUUUCUAUGACUGAGCUAGCUUUUCUUAUGGGCAAGAGGGCUCUUUUUGUAAUUUGUGCAUGAAAUUCAUGUUAUUUCCUGGGGAGAGAAGAGGGCCAACUGAGUGGGUGGGGGGCACGUGUGGGAAGCAGGCAGAGGGCUCCUUCCCUGCAGGGGUGGGGAGGGGUCGCAGAGGGCAUGCUACCCAGCUCACCUGAAGAGGGCUCUUGAACCAGCCGUUUUGGGUUGUGUUAAAUGUGGGAACUUUCCUCCAUUAAUGUACAAUCUUGAACUAACUGCUAAUAAAAUGGGAUUCUGUUUGU
rnacentral:lncRNA from 1 species